rnacentral:rRNA from 1 species
CGGACGGGUGAGUAAUGUCUGGGAAACUGCCUGGUGGAGGGGGAUAACUACUGGAAACGGUAGCUAAUACCGCAUAACGUCGCAAGACCAAAGAGGGGACCUUCGGGCCUCUUGCCAUCGGAUGUGCCCAGAUGGGAUUAGCUAGUAGGUGGGGUAACGGCUCACCUAGGCGACGAUCCCUAGCUGGUCUGAGAGGAUGACCAGCCACACUGGAACUGAGACACGGUCCAG